CGCUGCGGCGGGCUCUUCAAACUCUGUAUAAUAAGAAGACCCGAGGAUAAAUCGCCGCGGUGUGUAAGGCUAUGCACUGCAGCAGUCACCCCCAAUUGAAUUAACUUAUAAAAAUUAGGGUUUUGUGUCACGGCAGAAAGACUUGAGUGCCGUUGCGCGAUAAAGAUUUGGCAAGACUGAAGAUUCAUUUGGUGUAAUUUUGGAAGAGAAGUCGUAGAUUCAAUCAUUUUUCUUGUUGGUCGUGAUUUGGGGUGAUUGUUUCUACCUUUUUGCUACAAUUUGUGGGGUCUAAUAUGGACAGAAUGAGGAGUCUUUAACUCCUAUGUCGGCAAUAAUGGAUAACAAGGUGCAAGCAAUGAAGGGAAAUGACAGAAUGAGGCUGGGUGUUCAGGGUUCACAAACAAAGCAAUAGUCUUCUUCUUCAAGGCCCCUUACUAUGGCCGAGUGUAUGGAAAGAUUAAAGGGCCAGGUUACUCAUAAGGUCUCAAAUAGCCAAGAGUACGAAAAUGGAGCAAUAUGAGGCAAAAUUGGAAGAAAAAUAUGAAGUUUAGUGAAAAUGUGAAAACCGCCACGACAGGAGCUCUCAAGCGCUGUGGCGGCCUCUUACGUGACAAUUUGAGUAACUUACCCGAGAGGAAAGCGCUGUGGCGGGAAUGACUUAAGUGCUGUGGCGUGCACAUGUUGAAAAUCAUAGUUGGGGACCCGAGACAAAAUUGUCGCGGUAGGAGGAACAUCUCCGCUGCGGCGCUCGAAGGAAUUUCAGAAAUCCUCAGGACCCGAGACUAAAACGCUGCGAUGGGAGGCAUUGAGUGCCACGACGCGAUAUUUAAAAUUUGAAAAUUAUUUGUCCUUAUCUCAUUUUGUUCAAAUCUGAAUUAGGUAGGACAUGAGUUUGUGAUACAUGGGCUAUAAAUAGACGAAAGUAGGGUUUAUUUCGGAGGGAGGAGAGACCUGGGAGAAGAGAGAGCUUAGAGAACAAGAAGGGGAUUUACAGAUUUCCUUCUACUUUUCUAGUUUAUUCUUCUCUUUUCUUUAUGAUUGUAAUUCAGGAUGUUUGUUCUUCAUCUUAAUAUGAGCUAAUUUCCUUUGUUUAGGGAUGAGAUGUAGCUCAAUCAUGAUUUAUGUUUUUGAUUAGUUUAAUUUAAUUCUCUGUUUUGCAUCAA